UUUAAAGGGGCCCUAUUAUGGUAUUAUUUACUGUUUAUUAUUUAAUUUGUUGGGUCUAAUAGAAUCGAUUUACAACGUUGAAGUGUCGUCGGCCAUAUUAUUUUUCAUCAUACGUCUAUCAGUAUUACAACCCCUAUGUGAAACGCCCGGUUGCUGAGAAUUUUGAGGGAGUUAGAAUCUUGGCGCUGACAGAAACGUCUCGUCAGACAUUUGUAAGUUAGGCGAUUAUGGCGUCAGUGCUGCCUUACCAAUUUGAACCAGAAUCCGACCCCGAAAGCGAUAAUGGAGCUGAUGGAGCCAAUGAUGAGCGCGAUGUUAGUCGUAGAUUGGACCAAGACGUUUCACUGUGGUGCACUUGUGGGAAUUGUGCCACUAUGCCUAGUGAAGUGGAGAACGUCUGCUGCAGAGAAAUCACAAAGGUAGUAAGACGAAUGAGCCAAGUGCCAAUACCCAUAAUGUGCAUGACAGAACAUCCAGGCCUAGAACCUGUGUGUCUAAACCCAUACAGUCUGCAAAAUAUCUACAACAUUUACAAAUAUGAUUACGGACCUGUUAGGCACAGAACAGAAGAAGAAUAAUAUCAAUCAACUUGCUGUUUUGUUGUUUUGAUUGAGUAAAGGCGUUUGAGGCAUCUUGCCUAUCGCAGCUUUGUAAGCUGGUGCUGGGGCUACUUAGGACCUAGUCGUCGGGUCAUCAUCCCGUCAUGUGUGGUGCAGCGGAUACGGCAGCAGUUCCCGUCUGGUGAUUACAUAGGCUUCAGACCACCUAUUGAUUGAAGCGGGAGACGUGACGGGCAACCAGCUCAGCCUUUGGAGUUUUCGGGAAUUCUGCUGAGAGGUCUGGAGGGAUGGGGAUGGUCUUCAAUUCCUCUGCAAAAGAUGUAGGGUCCUCAAAAACUUCCUGCAUGAGCAGCCUCAUGAGUUCACGUACAUAGUCUGGAAGAUAUAGCAUUCAAAUCCAAUAAAUGUAUCCAUAACAAUCUGUAAA